rnacentral:pre_miRNA from 1 species
GAAACAUCUGAGGUAGUUUGUAAUGCUGUCGACGUCAAUAGUCAACAUCAUUCCAACUGUCUCGGCUGUUUA